GAGGGUUCGUGGUUGCUCUGGUUUCGCUCUCGAGUCAAGAAUAAUGUGCGACGCCCAGUUCGUCGUUCGCAUUUCGCGUUUUUCUUUUUCUGUAUAUAUAGAAAAGCAUUCUCUGCAGAAACCCAGAGGAUGAUAGAUAUGAUCGGACCAGUGGCUGAGGAAUGAGUGAUUGACCAACGCUAAGAAGCAAAGGGGCAGCGUGCAGCUACUUUGGGAGUACAUCUGGGCUUUGCAUGGGGCCGGGCGGAAGUACCUGGCAUGUACUCUGUGCUGCUGCAUCUCGUUCUGUCCAUUUCUUGGAUGUGCUGCGCCCAAGCUUCGUCGUCUGGAUAGCUAACGAGCUGGCUAGCGAUCGCAAAUUUUGGCGCUCAGCAGGCCUACCCCUGCAAACUGUGCCAGAAGACUAAAAUAAUAGAAGCUACUGAGUAUAAUAGUAACAAAGGAC
rnacentral:sRNA from 1 species